GCUAUUAGUCUGCCUUGGAGAAACUCAGCGUUCGUAGAGAAAUUUUAUCAGCCUGGUCACCGCAUAAGAUCAUGGAAUGGAAAAGUCUUCCGAAGACUUCUGAUGCUCUCUUAUAGAACUAAGGCUUAUUUUAUCCAGAAAUCUAAGAAGCCAAACAAUUGGGAUCUGAGGAGGAUUUUUAAAUCGUUAUCAUUUACGCUUUCCUGCUUGUAAAAGUUGUAAGGCUGAACAUGAAAAGCGUAAGAAAAACUGCCAGGACUUAAAAAAAUUGAUGAAAAGAUCUCAUCUAAUUCAUUUGAUUAAACUACUUUAACUCUGCCAGCUUGUGUCCAGGGCCGUAGCCUGCAACAGGCUGAACAUUACCAUUCGUUUGUAAUCAGUAGUUUAAACCUGUGCACUUAAGUGAUAGAAUGUUAGGGACUUUAAUUCUUAUUUACUAGGGAGGAAUUUGAAUCUCAGAGAGGUUAAGUGAUUUGCCCAAAGUCAUACAAUUCUGGAAUAUGAUCUGUUGUUAGAAUCCAGAAAAGAUAAUGGAAAGGGAAGAUUUAAGACAGGAGAUUAGAAGCCCCUGAAAAUACCUUAAUCAGGAAGCUCUCAAACCUUUCCACCAGUCCGCUGGAGCCACCAACAGGUGAGUGGACAAGAUGACUACAAUGGAACCUGCAUUCAACUUGCUAGAAGGCAUGCCCAUGGGACUUUCUUUAGCUGAAGAAAUGCAUUUAGAGGUGAUUUGUGUCACAUCAAACAGCUGCCUGACCACAGAAACCAUAGAGGCAUGUCAAGAUGCUCCAUCAGCUUGGUUUCCUAGGUGACUCAGAUGAGCAGAGACCCGGUGACAACCUGCACUGAACACACAGGAGGCACGAGGAACAAACUUGCUAUGCUACGUCACCGUUG
rnacentral:lncRNA from 1 species